AAUAAAAAAAUAAAAAUAAAAAUACUCCUAUCAUGUCUCAGAGAAGGCAAUCAAAAGCUGCUCCACAUAACAGCAAUAUGAAACCUAAAUCCUCAACUAAAAUUAAAACAAGUAAAAUCCAGUUCUAGUUAACUCAUAAGUGUCUUAGUCGUCGAAGAAAAUGAGCAAAAAAGCCAUCUACUUUUUAGUCUUUGCUGGACCAUCGGCGAUGGACAGCUUAGCCAAGUUGUCCCCAGUAGGGUUAAGCUCAUCCCAAGCUUCGAUCCACGUGACCAUAGCAUCUCCUAGCUUGGUGAAAUAGGGAUCGAUCUUGGAAAGUUUUUCCUUAACCUGCUUUGAGAGCUCAAGGUAGCAUUGCUGGACGGUUGUACACUCUUUAGGAAGCGUUGCAGUCUGGAAGAAGGGGAUGAUCUCCUCUUGCCAGAAGAUACCGUUGUACUCCUUUUUGAGGUUAACGAAUGGGUUGCUAGCUUUGCUGUGCCAUAUGUAGGGCAGACCAGUCUUGAUUCCUAGUCCCAAAUGGUCACAUAUGACCUUGGUACACCAGCCGGCCCACAUAUCGUCGUAACGACCAAUUGGCUGAC
rnacentral:misc_RNA from 1 species